UACGGAGGGUGCAAGCGUUAUCCGGAUUCACUGGGUUUAAAGGGUGCGUAGGUGGGCAGGUAAGUCAGUGGUGAAAUCUCCGGGCUUAACUCGGGAACUGCCGUUGAUACUAUCUGUCUUGAAUAUCGUGGAGGUUAGCGGAAUAUGUCAUGUAGCGGUGAAAUGCUUAGAUAUGACAUAGAACACCGAUUGCGAAGGCAGCUAACUACACGAUCAUUGACGCUGAGGCACGAAAGCGUGGGGAGCAAACAGG
rnacentral:rRNA from 1 species